AUUGAACGCUGGCGGCAGGCCUAACACAUGCAAGUCGAACGAGUGGCGGACGGGUGAGUAAUGUCUGGGAAACUGCCCGAUGGAGGGGGAUAACUACUGGAAACGGUAGCUAAUACCGCAUACCAUCGGAUGUGCCCAGAUGGGAUUAGCUAGUAGGUGGGGUAACGGCUCACCUAGGCGACGAUCCCUAGCUGGUCUGAGAGGAUGACCAGCCAGACUGGAACUGAGACACGGUCCAGACUCCUACGGGAGGCAGAAGUGGGGAAUAUUGCACAAUGGGCGCAAGCCUGAUGCAGACAUGCCGCGUGGGUGAAGAAGGUCUUCGGAUUGUAAAGGACUUUAAGUGGGGAGGCGGGACCAAAAGAAGAAGCACCGGCUAACUUCGUGCCAGCAGCCGCGGUAAUAG
rnacentral:rRNA from 1 species